rnacentral:rRNA from 1 species
UAGGGGAAUCUUCCGCAAUGGAUCGAAAGUCUGACGGAGCAACGCCGCGUGAGUGAUGAAGGUUUUUCGGAUCGUAUAGCUCUGUUGUUAGGGAAGAACAAGUGCGAGAGUAACUGCUCGCACCUUGACGGUACCUAACCAGAAAGCCACGGCUAACUACGUGCCAGCAGCCGCGGUAAUACGUAGGUGGCAAGCGUUGUCCGGAAUUAUUGAGCGUAAAGGGCUCGCAGGCGGUUUAUUAAGUCUGAUGUGAAAGCCCCCGGCUCAACCGGGGAGGGUCAUUGGAAACUGGGAAACUUGAGUGCAGAAGAGGAGAGUGGAAUUCCACGUGUAGCGGUGAAAUGCGUAGAGAUGUGGAGGAACACCAGUGGCGAAGGCGACUCUUUGGUCUGUAACUGACGCUGAGGAGCGAAAGCGUGGGGAGCGAACAGGAUUAGAUACCCUGGUAGUCCACGCCGUAAACGAUGAGUGAUAAGUGUUAGGGGGUUUCCGCCCCUUAGUGCUGCAGGUAACGCAUUAAGCACUCCGCCUGGGGAGUUCGGUCCCAAGACUGAAACUCAAAGGAAUUGACGGGGGCCCGCACAAGCGGUGGAGCAUGUGGUUUAAUUAAAAGCAACGCGAAGAACCUUACCAGGUCUUGACAUCCUCUGACAACCCUAGAGAUAGGGCUUUCCCUUCGGGGACAGAGUGACAGGUGGUGCAUGGUUGUCGUCAGCUGGAGUCGUGAGAUGUUGGGUUAAGUCCCGCAACGAGCGCAACCCUUGAUUUUAGUUGCCAGCAUUCAGUUGGGCACUUUAAGGUGACUGCCGGUGACAAACCGGAGGAAGGUGGGGAUGACGUCAAAUCAUCAUACCCCUUAGGCCCUGGGCUACCCACGUGCUACAAUGGACAGAACAAAGGGCUACAAGACCCCAAGGCUUACCCAAUCCCAUAAAUCUUUUAUCAGUUCGGAUUGCAGUCUGCCACUUGACUGAGUGAAGCUGGAAUCUUCUAGUAAGCGCGUUACAGAAUACGC